GACGGAGGAUGCAAGUGUUAUCCGGAAUCACUGGGCGUAAAGCGUCUGUAGGUGGUUUAAUAAGUCAACUGUUAAAUCUUGAGGCUCAACUUCAAAAUCGCAGUCGAAACUAUUAGACUAGAGUAUAGUAGGGGUAAAGGGAAUUUCCAGUGGAGCGGUGAAAUGCGUAGAGAUUGGAAAGAACACCAAUGGCGAAAGCACUUUACUGGGCUAUCACUGACACUGAGAGACGAAAAGCUAGGGUAGCAAAUGGG
rnacentral:rRNA from 1 species